CCCAGGAAACUCCAGGGCACUGGGCUGGUCCGAGGGGAGCUGUCCUAGAAAACACCAGCAUUUGCCCAGUUUCUAUGCCAGGGCCGGGGAGCUGAUUGGUAAAGGGCCAUAUCGGUCAUUUCCCCAAAAGCCUCCCAUGAAUGUGAACCGUGGGAUGAUUGUGCUGGGAUACGGACCCGGAAGUAGGAAAACUGGGCCACCGGAAGUGCAGGAUGGGCGUUCUAUCUCCACUUGUACCUUCCCGCGCCUUCCCCAAGCUGCCCCGCUCUCCACACUCGCCCCCGCCCCCAGCGAUCCCCUCCACUGGCGGCCAAAGCCAUCUCCGAAAGGCACAAGUCAAAUCACAUCGCUGUGACACAGGACAGCUGAACAGACUCCAUUUUAGAAAGGCUCCGUCUCUGCUGUGUUUCUGCUAGAAAGCACGUUCCAGAUUCUGCCUUUGAAUAAGCCAGGAAGCUCUGUUCCCAGUCGAGGGGGACGCAAGAAAGUGAAUCAUUCUCUGAGUUUUGUCCUAGACCCCAAACACCUGAUAACACCCAAGGACCAGGUCCCAGACAUGCCAGGACCUCGGCUCCAAGCUUCAGCUGACUGGCAUCGAGACACCCCUAUCUUCAGUGGUUCAACAAAUAACACCUGUCGCUCACUUGACUCUUUACUUGGACCCUAGUGGAUUCUUAAAGGAACACAUACAUUCCCUAAACUCUUCUCCAGUAUCAACCUCUAACCCUGAGCAACGACGAGACUCCGUCUUCUCUCCUCUCUGAGGGUCUCCCGGGCACUCUGUCCGCUAUUCUCUGUCACUCACAC